GUACGCUGGCGGCACGCCUUAUACAUGCAAGUCGAACGAAGUAGCAAUACUUAGUGGCAGACGGGUGAGUAACAUGUGGGUAUCUUCCCUUUGGUGAGGAAUAACACGAGGAAACUUGUGCUAAUGCCUCAUAAGUCUUUACGGAGAAAGCUUUAUGCGCCAAUGGAUGAGCCCGCACUUGAUUAGUUUGUUGGUGGGGUAAUGGCCUACCAAGACAGUGAUCAAUAGCUGAUCUGAGAGGAUGAUCAGCCACAUUGGAACUGAGACACGGUCCAAACUCCUACGGGAGGCAGCAGUAGGGAAUCUUGCACAAUGGAGGAAACUCUGAUGCAGCGAUGCCGCGUGAGUGAAGAAGGCCCUUGGGUUGUAAAGCUCUUUCGUCGGGGAAGAAAAUGACUGUACCCGAAUAAGAAGGUCCGGCUAACUUCGUGCCAGCAGCCGCGGUAAUACGAAGGGACCUAGCGUAGUUCGGAAUUACUGGGCUUAAAGAGUUCGUAGGUUGUUAAAAAAGUUGGUGGUGAAAUCCCAGAGCUUAACUCUGGAACUGCCAUCAAAACUUUUUAGCUAGAGUAUGAUAGAGGAAAGCAGAAUUUCUAGUGUAGAGGUGAAAUUCGUAGAUAUUAGAAAGAAUACCGAUUGCGAAGGCAGCUUUCUGGAUCAUUACUGACGCUGAGGAACGAAAGCAUGGGUAGCGAAGAGGAUUAGAUACCCUCGUAGUCCAUGCCGUAAACGAUGUGUGUUAGACGUUGGAAAUUUAUUUUCAGUGUCGCAGCGAAAGCAGUAAACACACCGCCUGGGGAGUACGACCGCAGGUUAAAACUCAAAUGAAUUGACGGGGAACC
rnacentral:rRNA from 1 species